AAAAAUAUAAAUAUGAAUAUUUUCUUUUUAUUAAGUUGUAGCUCCAGCAUUAGAUAAGAUAAUUAUUCUAGAAAUUUCUUAUUAUCGCGACAAUAGGGAUACCAUUGAAUAUUUAAAUAAAAAUUAUCUAAAGAAAAUUAUUUGCUUAUAAUUUUAAUAUAAAUUAUUCAAAGGGGUUGAAUUGAUAUCAUUUCAAGUUAUCCCAGAAUAGCAGAUAAAUUUUAUAUUUAUAUAAAAUUAUAAAUUAUUUUAAAUUUACAAAUUUUAAUUAUAAAUUUAAUUUUACAAUUUAGUAAGUAAGAUCAGAUUUUAAUUAUCUGCUCACUAAUACGAUGGAAUCGUGAUAAUCGCCGAUAAAUUAAGUAACUCGUCUAAUAUGAAUUUUAAUAGAGAAAUUCUU
rnacentral:rRNA from 1 species